rnacentral:rRNA from 1 species
UCAUUAAAUCAGUUAUCGUUUAUUUGAUAGUACCUUACUACUUGGAUAACCGUGGUAAUUCUAGAGCUAAUACAUGCUAAAAACCUCGACUUCGGAAGGGGUGUAUUUAUUAGAUAAAAAACCAAUGCCCUUCGGGGCUCCUUGGUGAUUCAUAAUAACUUAACGAAUCGCAUGGCCUUGUGCCGGCGAUGGUUCAUUCAAAUUUCUGCCCUAUCAACUUUCGAUGGUAGCGUAGUGGGCUACCAUGGUUUCAACGGGUAACGGGGAAUUAGGGUUCUAUUCCGGAGAGGGAGCCUGAGAAACGGCUACCACAUCCAAGGAAGGCAGCAGGCGCGCAAAUUACCCAAUCCCGACACGGGGAGGUAGUGACAAUAAAUACUGAUACAGGGCUCUUUUGGGUCUUGUAAUUGGAAUGAGUACAAUUUAAAUCCCUUAACGAGGAACAAUUGGAGGGCAAGUCUGGUGCCAGCAGCCGCGGUAAUUCCAGCUCCAAUAGCGUAUAUUAAAGUUGUUGCAGUUAAAAAGCUCGUAGUUGAACCUUGGGCCUGGCUGGCCGGUCCGCCUCACCGCGUGCACUGGUCCGGCCGGGCCUUUCCUUCUGGGGAGCCGCAUGCCCUUCACUGGGUGUGUCGGGGAACCAGGACUUUUACUUUGAAAAAAUUAGAGUGUUCAAAGCAGGCCUAUGCUCGAAUACAUUAGCAUGGAAUAAUAGAAUAGGACGUGUGGUUCUAUUUUGUUGGUUUCUAGGACCGCCGUAAUGAUUAAUAGGGAUAGUCGGGGGCAUCAGUAUUCAAUUGUCAGAGGUGAAAUUCUUGGAUUUAUUGAAGACUAACUACUGCGAAAGCAUUUGCCAAGGAUGUUUUCAUUAAUCAGUGAACGAAAGUUAGGGGGAUCGAAGACGAUCAGAUACCCGUCGUAGUCUUAACCAUAAACUAAUGCCGACUAGGGAUCGGGGCGAUGUUAUCUUUUU